AGAGUUUGAUCCUGGCUCAGAUUGAACGCUGGCGGCAUGCCUAACACAUGCAAGUCGAACGGCAGCACAGCAGUAGCAAUACUGUGGGUGGCGAGUGGCGGACGGGUGAGGAAUACAUCGGGACCUGCCCAGACGUGGGGGAUAACGUAGGGAAACUUACGCUAAUACCGCAUACGUCCUACGGGAGAAAGCGGGGGAUCUUCGGACCUCGCGCGGUUGGAUGGACCGAUGUUCGAUUAGCUAGUUGGUGGGGUAAAGGCUCACCAAGGCGACGAUCGAUAGCUGGUCUGAGAGGAUGAUCAGCCACACUGGGACUGAGACACGGCCCAGACUCCUACGGGAGGCAGCAGUGGGGAAUAUUGGACAAUGGGCGCAAGCCUGAUCCAGCAAUGCCGCGUGUGUGAAGAAGGCCUUCGGGUUGUAAAGCACUUUUAUCAGGAGCGAAAUACCACGGGCUAAUACCCUAUGGGGCUGACGGUACCUGAGGAAUAAGCACCGGCUAACUUCGUGCCAGCAGCCGCGGUAAUACGAAGGGUGCAAGCGUUAAUCGGAAUUACUGGGCGUAAAGCGUGCGUAGGCGGUGAUUUAAGUCUGCUGUGAAAUCCCCGGGCUCAACCUGGGAAUGGCAGUGGAUACUGGAUCGCUAGAGUGUGAUAGAGGAUGGUGGAAUUCCCGGUGUAGCGGUGAAAUGCGUAGAGAUCGGGAGGAACAUCAGUGGCGAAGGCGGCCAUCUGGAUCAACACUGACGCUGAGGCACGAAAGCGUGGGGAGCAAACAGGAUUAGAUACCCUAGUAGUCC
rnacentral:rRNA from 1 species